CAAAUCAGCACGGCCCUUACGUCCGGGGCUACACACGUGUUACAAUGGGGGGUACAGAAGGCAGCUAGCGGGUGACCGUAUGCUAAUCCCAAAAGCCUCUCUCAGUUCGGAUCGAAGUCUGCAACCCGACUUCGUGAAGCUGGAUUCGCUAGUAAUCGCGCAUCAGCCACGGCGCGGUGAAUACGUUCCCGGGCCUUGUACACACCGCCCGUCAAGCCAUGGGAGCCGGGGGUACCUGAAGUACGUAACCGCAAGGAUCGUCCUAGGGUAAAACUGGUGACUGGGGCUAAGUCGUAACAAGGUAGCCGUACCGGAAGGUGCGGCUGGAACACC
rnacentral:rRNA from 1 species